AUUGUCGUAAUAUCGAUUCACCCCUACAGAAAAAAAAGAACAAAACAAAAAUCAAAUCAAAUAAAAAAAAUGCCAACAAAAUAAAACAAAAAAAACAUUAAUCAAAAUGGAACAACAAUUAAAAAAAAGAAUCGAAAAUUUUUAUUCGAAAGGGGUGGUUGUUAAAUCUACAUAAGAAAAACAUAUGAUUUCUUUUCUAUAGAAAAUGUUGAUUAAUUUUUUUCUUUUUCCUCUCGGUGAAGAUUAACAUGGAAAUUUAUUAUUAAUUGUGUUUCUUUUUUUUCUUUUGGUUUUCUAAUUAAUAGAAAUUAUUGUUACUUAAUGUGUGUGAAUAAGUUGUUACCCUAAAUUCGUUAAUUGUGUUUAAGAUUAACCGAUAAUUCCAAUGAUUAAUUAAAUAUUUUUGUUGGAAGGAGAAACAUGAAAAUUGAAACAAAGGGAAAGAGGAAAAGUCAAUCAAUUGGAUUAGUAUUUUCUACUCACCGUAACUCCAAGCUAUUGAAACAACUUCACAAAAAACAAGGAAUAACAGUGCGAACCCACUGGCUGCAUAGUAAUUAAAAAGUUCAAACCAAUAUACGCCACCCUCCUGACGAUUACUUUCCUCUACUACAAGGUUAAUUAUGUAAUCUUUUCCAUUUUCAAUUGAUUGGUACUUUUUCUUCUUCUCUAAUCAUAAAUUCAACUUGAUUUCAUGAUUAUUUAAUUUGUCAAUGAGCAAAGUAAUUGUAACAACACUUACAUGGGAAAAAAAAGAAAUGAACAAUUUGCUUUAUCAGCCAAAUACAAGCAGAAAAAAGUGUUAACCAAAUAAUGGAAACAUUUUCCUUAGAUUAUUGUUAUGCUUUGUAAGCAGUAAUUUGAAUUAUACAUUUCAAGCCUUUUCUUUUCUUACGCUGAAUUGAAUAUUCACUUCUCUCUCUCUCUCUUUUUUUCUAUUCAAAUAAUAUAUCAAAUGAACCAUUGAAUGAUUAAGUUUAACAAUUUACAGGUAGAACGAAAAACAAAAAGUAACGGUAAAAGAGAGAGAAACAAUAUUGAUUGAAGCAGAAAACAAAAAAAAGCUUAUGUAAGAAAAAUAACAAUUUAAAGGUAAUGAUAAUGAUGAUUAAAAAAUUUUUAUGAUGACAAGAAAAUGAUGAUGAUAAGAAUUGAGGAAAGAAAAUAAAUUCUCUGAAUAUUUCCAUCUUCUUCUCCAUGAUAUACAUACAUACACCUAGAAAAACCUUUGGAAAUCAAAUCUGAAUACAGUGGCAUUAAAAAAGGAAAAAAGAAAGUUAUCAAAGCAAUCAACUAAUUACGAUAAUCAGUGUGCAUCAAUUUAUGGUUACAAUUCAAUUGGAUGGUAAAGGUUAAUCAUAUGGGAAAAAUGGUUUAUUUCUCUGAUAUUUGGACUCUAAUUGUUGUAACAAUUAACUUACCUGGACGACAAAGAAAAACCCAAUAAUAUAUGAGAUAAGACAGAUAAAUGCAAUGAAGGCUUCUUUAUGUUUCCUCAAUAUAGUUGGCCAUUCAUCUACAACGGCAGUGACAAAACCUUCCAUGGUACAGAACUGGAUUUAAAGACGAAAAUCAACAAUUAGAACAGAUAUAAAGUCUUGGACUUUUUGAUUUUUCAAACAAUCAAAAUUAUUCAUCUUUUUGGUAAUAUUCAAAGAUAUUAUAUACAAAUUCAAUUAGAUUUAAUAUCCAGCAUUCAAACGAUUGACACUAUUGAUUUUUUUUCCUUUCCUUUAAACUUUAUUUUGACUGUUGUUGUUGAUAAAUUUGACAUUAUCUCUUGUCAAGAUACUUCAACUCAGGUCACAAUGUUUGUCUCCGACUUUCUUAUAUUAUUGAGGGAAAAUUUUGAAAUUCUUGUCAAAUAUUAUCAUUUCUCAGGUAUUGAUAAAUUUUACUUGCAUCCAGACAAUUUAAAGUCCAUUUUCUUAUGAUAUAACUGUCAAGUUAUAUAAAUUUUACAUUUGAUUGAUUUUAGUUUCAAUGUGGUAAACUUUUCAAUCAGUUUGGACGAUAAACUCACAUAAAUAACACACAAUUUAAAUUGUUUGGAAUCAAAGUGAAUUAAUAUUCAACUUGUACUUACUUGACUGUCUAAACCUAACAUAAGAAUCAUAACAAAGAAGAGAACCGACCAUAAAGGUGAUAUUGGAAGAUGAAGAGUCGCUGAAGGGUAGGCCAAAAAUGCGAGUCCCGAACCUGGAAAAAUGAAACAGAAUCAAAGGCGAACAAAGAACAACAAUUAGAACAAUCAAUUGGAAUAAUUUGGAACAAGAGAAAACAUUAAAUCGGAACGUUUUUUAGACAGAAAAUAUUAAUAUCAUGAUGAAGAGAAGGAAAAAAUUGACCUGAAAAAAGGUAUCAUUUGAUUGGAGGAAUUCAAAGCUCGACAGGAAUCUCUGAAUUCUCAACAAGGAUAACAUGUCCAUUUAACUCCUUUCCAAAUGCAAAAAUAACACCCAAUCCAUGAGACCGCCAAUGUGACCGCUAACGGCCAACGAAUCUCACCCAGAUCAUGUAAACCCGUUGUGACCUGAAGU